UCCACGGAACUGGUGCACGAUUCUGGACGCUGCCGCUUUGCCCGAAGAAUUUUCGAAGGCCAAAGACAAACCCCCCACGUGGUGGCGGUGGUCAUCUCGGGGGAUACGGCGGCGGCUCCUCAUAGAAAUAUUCCCAUUACUCUCAACAUCGUCGCGCGAAACCCACUCUCCCUUAGAAUUAUUGCUAAUCUGGUCAUUCCCAUUAGCCGCAUCAUCAACCAUCGACCAUACAUCGUCCUCGCCUAGCUCCGACGAGUCGUUGACGGUGGUGUCUUGGCCAUUACUGUAAGCAAAG
rnacentral:misc_RNA from 1 species